UACAGAGGGUGCAAGCGUUAAUCGGAAUUACUGGGCGUAAAGCGUGCGUAGUCGGUUAUUUAAGUCGGAUGUGGAAUCCCCGGGCUCAACCUGGGAAUUGCAUUCGAUACUGGAUAGCUAGAGUUCGGCAGAGGGAAGCGGAAUUUCUGGUGUAGCGGUGAAAUGCGUAGAUAUCAGAAGGAACAUCAGUGGCGAAAGCGGCUUCCUGGACCAGAACUGACGAUCAGGCACGAAAGCGUGGGGAGCAAACAGG
rnacentral:rRNA from 1 species